rnacentral:rRNA from 1 species
GAUGAACGCUGCCGGCGUGCUCAACACAUGCAAGUCGAACGGUGAGCCCCGAGCUUGUUCCGUUGGAUCAGCGGCGAACGUGUGAGUAUCACCUGAGCAACCUUCCCCCCACUCGGGGAUAAGUGCUGGAAACGGCGGCUAAUACUGGAUAGGUGUCGCGCCCGCAGUGUCUGCGUUUGUAUAUGUUUUUCGGUUCGGGAUUGUCUCGCGGCCUAGGAGCUUGUGGUUGGGGUAAUGGUGCCCAAAGGCGUCGACGGGUAGCCUGCCUGUGAGGGUGACCGGCCACACUGGGACUGAGACACGGCCCAGACUCCUACGGGAGGCAACAGUGGGGAAUAUUGCACGAUGGGCGCAAGCCUGAUGCAGGAACGCCGCGUGCGGGAUGACGGCCUUCGGGUUGUAAACCUCUUUGGGCAGGGAAGAAGCGAAAGUGACGGUACCUGCAGAAAAAGCGCCGGCUAACUACGUG